CUGGCGGCGUGCCUAAUACAUGCAAGUCGAGCGGACCGACGGGAGCUUGCUCCCUUAGGUCAGCGGCGGACGGGUGAGUAACACGUGGGUAACCUGCCUGUAAGACUGGGAUAACUCCGGGAAACCGGGGCUAAUACCGGAUGCUUGAUUGAACCGCAUGGUUCAAUUAUAAAAGGUGGCUUUUAGCUACCACUUACAGAUGGACCCGCGGCGCAUUAGCUAGUUGGUGAGGUAACGGCUCACCAAGGCAACGAUGCGUAGCCGACCUGAGAGGGUGAUCGGCCACACUGGGACUGAGACACGGCCCAGACUCCUACGGGAGGCGGCAGUAGGGAAUCUUCCGCAAUGGACGAAAGUCUGACGGAGCAACGCCCGCGUGAGUGAUGAAGGUUUUCGGAUCGUAAAACUCGUGUUGUUAGGGAAGAACAAGUACCGUUCGAAUAGGGCGGUACCUUGACGGUACCUAACCAGAAAGCCACGGCUAACUACGUGCCAGCCGCAGC
rnacentral:rRNA from 1 species